rnacentral:rRNA from 1 species
UGGGGAAUAUUGCACAAUGGUGGGAACUCUGAUGCAGCGACGCCGCGUGAGUGAUGAAGGAAGUCGUUUCGUAAAAAUCUGUUCUAUGGGAAGAAAAGGACUGCACCAUAGGAGAAAGCUCCGGCUAAAUACGUGCCAGCAGCCGCGGUAAUACGUAUGGAGCGAGCGUUGUCCGGAAUUAUUGGGCGUAAAGGGUGCGCAGGCGGCUUUACAAGUUGGAUGAGAAAUAUUGUGGCUCAACCACAAACGUGCAUCCAAAACUGCAAAGCUUGAGUUAACGAGAGGUAAGUGGAAUUCCUGGUGUAGCGGUCGAAUACGUAGAUAUCAAAAGGAAUACCAGUGGCUAAGGCGACUUACUGAACUUAAACUAACGCUAAGGCACGAAAGCGUGGGGAGCAAACAGG